ACCCUGUGCCCAGUGCCGUGCUCCAAGCCCUGGUGCACAGCCCUCUGCCCUGGUAACCCAAGACCUCUGGUACUUGCCUAUACUCCAAGAUAAUCAGACUGCACUUUGCCUGUAAAGUCAAAUGUUCCUGAGACCUGGAAGAAGGGGUUGCUAAAAAAAGACAUUUACUGGUCUCAGGACUGGAAUUCUGGAAAACUGGACUAGUAUACCUUGGCCUCAGAGGGAGCAUCCAGAUGAGCACGCCUCUGUGAGAAAACCAGGAUCCCUGCUGAUCAGGCAGCCCAGCCUGGGACAAGCACCCCAGCAGCCACAUCUGCAGGGAGCUUCAACUAAUGAAUUCCACCCAGGUUCGAAGGAGCGAGCAUUUUGAUUGGCUGCUGGAAAUGCCACCUAUCUAUUUAGCACCAGCUGGGCCUUGGGUUUGCAGACCAGUCAACAGUUUCACUGUGGCAAGCCUCCUGGUUGCUGCACUCUUUUUCUGGCUCCAGACCCUGGUUUGGCUCUGCUCUUGAUUAUCCGUUGGAUUUGUACUCGGCAUCUGAUCCCCAGAUCCUGACCUUGGACUGUGCUAUGGAUUCUGCUCCUGGAUUUCCCUCUGGUUUCCCACCCUCUGCUUCAGCCCCAAGCCCCUGCUUUCCCUCAGUGGUCUAGCCAUUAAGCCAGACCAUCUAUGCCCUGGUCUCUUACAGAGGACAAGUCUCCAAUUUCAUCACUAUUUUCUUUUCCUCUGCUCAGAAGAUUACA